rnacentral:lncRNA from 1 species
UUUAGAGAGCUCUAUAGGCAACAAACAAAGUUUGAACUGAACCACAUGCUGCUUUCAUCAUAAAUUUAAGGGUCACCAAUUAAACUUGAUUCGGAGGUCGUUGGUAUUCAAGGUGUUCUGAUGUUGAUAUAAAAAAACUAGCCAGCUGCUCUGCAAGUGAACUACAAUAAUGAAUUGUUUUUAGUUUUAGACCCAACUUUGCAGCAAAAAU